rnacentral:snoRNA from 1 species
AAAGCAGGCUGCAAUUACAGUGCUUCAUUCUGUGGGAGUACUGCCAUUUUCAUGCUGAGAGUAACUCUGUUAAUGCUGUCUUUGGCUUCACCUGUACGGUGGUGAAACCGUUUGUUCUUAACAUGUACAAGU